rnacentral:snRNA from 1 species
AUCGCUUCUCAGCCUUUUGGCUAAGAUCAAGUGUAGAUGUUUCUGAUAUGUUUAGCAGUAUUUGCUAUUUAAGUAUAUUAAUUUCAUUUGCUCUUAGAAAAACUGUUUUGUCUUUAGUUUCUGAUAGCACUGAUUGAAAAUUUUUGCUUUCUAUGCACUAGGUAUAACUCGGAAAAAUCCNN